GUUUCUGUUUAUCUUUGUCAUAAUACCCGAUAAAUCCUUAACUUUGGUUUUUAAUAUAUUUAUUUGAACUUAUUUUUCUUCAUUUCUUUGACUUAUUAACUCACAAUAAUACUUCAAUUAGGCCUUAAUUAAAACUUUCACAAGGUCCUGCACGAACUGGAGUAACAACCAGACCCAUAGUUAUUUUUCAAUGGUGUUACCCAUCGUCGGGAUUUGUGCUUAUUUGACUAAUUUAUAUCCCACUUCUUUUAUUUUUUCUUCAAUCUUACUUGAUCUGUAUUGAUUUAAAUUAUGGCUUCUUACUUAAAUUUAAUAAUAGUUCUAGAUAUUCUAGCCUUCCAAACAGAUGUUAAUCAUUGGAAUAGUAGAAUGUAUGGAGCUAUUUAAAACAGGGCGUUGCAGGCUAGAAUUUUAUGUGGAUCUAAUAAUUGAUCAACAAACAUAAUGGGUUUUGAUUAAUUUAACUGUCACGAAAGUAAGGUUUGGGUUAAUUAAAAUACACCUUGAUUACCUUAGAGAUGACUUAAAAUAACUUGGGAUCAAUUUCCUUCAGAGUAAUUAUUUCCCAUUUAUUGAAUGAAUUGGAUUAGAUCUAUAAUUAAUUGAAGCGUGAACCCCUAGUUCUAGAAUGUUUUUGUCAAUUGAUAUUUAAGUUUAGUUAAUUAUUUUAGAUUUUAUUUCAUUAAGUUAGAUUUAAUUGGUACUUCUCUACAACUCGAUCAUCUAAAUAAUUAAAAUUACUAUAGUUUGAUACUCAACACGAUUCUCAUAGGAACGAUACUUUACUCACUGUUUUAUUACUUGUUAAUGAUCUUUGCACUUGUGAAAUUUCGCACAAGAAGUUGUUAGCGUCAUUGCCGAGGAUCGGUGCUUGAUAUUAAAUGAUUAGUGAUUUGAUUAAUCUUGACAAUUUUUUUAAUUUCUUUUAUAGUUUAUUUUUUGUUUUUAUUUUUCUAUGCCUAAUUUUGUUUUUACUUGCUUUUCUUGUGAGGUACAUUGAGAUGUUUCAUCAGCAAGUCUUCAUAAGUUUUACUUAAUAACUCGAUGAAUCUUUUUAUGCUCCUUGGGCAAGAUUUAAUGAAUGGAUAGAGAGAUUUCCUUGUCAUAAUCUUUCAAAUCACUCUUUAACUCUUUAUUUCUAUAAUGGUUUGUUUAUAAAUACAUAUGAGUUAUUCAAUUUACAUACUUCUUC
rnacentral:misc_RNA from 1 species